rnacentral:rRNA from 1 species
UACCCGCUCCCCGAGUGGUGGGGGCGCUUAUUGGGCCUAAAGCAUCCGUAGCCGGCUGGGUAAGUCCCCUGUUAAAUCCAGCGAUUCAAUCACUGGACUGCGGGGGAUACUGCCCAGCUAGGGGGCGGGAGAGGCCGGCGGUAUUCCCGGGGUAGGGGUGAAAUCCUAUAAUCCCGGGAGGACCACCAGUGGCGAAGGCUGCCGGCUGGAACGCGCCCGACGGUGAGGGAUGAAAGCUGGGGGAGCGAACCGG